rnacentral:ncRNA from 1 species
AUAUAGUAACGGUUUUCAAUUUGCUUGAAAUUAAAAGGGAAUCAGGUGAGAAUCCUGAGCAACCGCCAUUACCGUAUCUGAAGAAGAAAAUGCAGUAUGCCAUUGGUUUUCACUGAGAAGGCGCAUUUUCACGGGCGUACCGCCCUAUAUCACAAGUCGGGAGACCUGCCGUAAAAAAUUA